GACGAACGCUGGCGGCGUGCUUAACACAUGCAAGUCGAACGGUAAGGCCCUUCGGGGUACACGAGUGGCGAACGGGUGAGUAACACGUGGGUGAUCUGCCCUGCACUUCGGGAUAAGCCUGGGAAACUGGAUCUAAUACCGGAUAGGACCCUGGGAUGCAUGUCCUGGGGUGGAAAGCUUUUGCGGUGUGGGAUGGGCCCGCGGCCUAUCAGCUUGUUGGUGGGGUGAUGGCCUACCAAGGCGACGACGGGUAGCCGGCCUGAGAGGGUGACCGGCGACACUGGGACUGAGAUACGGCCCAGACUCCUACGGGAGGCAGCAGUGGGGAAGAUUGCACAAUGGGCGCAAGCCUGAUGCAGCGACGCCGCGUGAGGGAUGACGGCCUUCGGGUUGUAAACCUCUUUCAGCACCGACGAAGCGCAAGUGACGGUAGGUGCAGAAGAAGGACCGGCCAACUACGUGCCAGCCGCCGCGGUAA
rnacentral:rRNA from 1 species